AUGACACGCUGGCGAACUCUGCUGGGACUCCUGUGGAUCCAGGUUUGCUCGGUGAGAGGGAUGAAGGUGGAGCAGACUCCCCCCUCCCUGAUUCUCCAGGAGGGAACCAGCUCUACUCUGAGAUGUAACUUUUCUACAGCAGUGAAUAAUGUGCAGUGGUUCCGACAGAAUCCCGGGGGAGGCCUCAUCAGACUCCUUUACAUCGCUUCAGAGGCGAAGGAGAGUGGAAGGUUAAGAGCCACAAUGAAUUUUCAGGAGCGGUUCAGUACCCUGAACAUCGCGGCCUCCCAGCUGCAGGACUCAGCCACCUACUUCUGUGCAGUGGAGCACAGUGCUCCCAGGUGA